AGCAGCCGCGGUAAUUCCAGCUCCAAUAGCGUAUAUUAAAGUUGUUGCAGUUAAAAAGCUCGUAGUUGAACUUCGGGGUUUACCCAUUGGUCAGGCUUAAUUGUCUGUACUGGUGAGAUAAAUCUCUACCUUCUGAGGAACUUUCAUGUCAUUAAUUUGGUGUGAUUGGAAAUCAGGACUGUUACUUUGAAAAAUUAGAGUGUUUAAAGCAGGCUAACGUCUGAAUACAUUAGCAUGGAAUAAUGAAAUAGGACGGACUGAUUCUAUUUCGUUGGUUUCUAGGAUCACCGUAAUGAUUAAUAGGGAUAGUUGGGGGCAUUAGUAUUCAAUUGUCAGAGGUGAAAUUCUUGGAUUUAUUGAAGACUAACUACUGCGAAAGCAUUUGCCAAGGAUGUUUUCAUUAAUCAAGAACGAAAGUUAGGGGAUCGAAGACGAUCAGAUACCG
rnacentral:rRNA from 1 species